rnacentral:lncRNA from 1 species
UUUUUUUUUUUUUUUUCUUGAGUUGUCACUGGAGUCGUGAGUGAGUUGAACGUUUCUUUAUUGGAUAUUAGUAAAUCGUUACCGAUUUUCUAAUGGAAUAAAAUACUGCUUUUCAAAUUUCAACAUUGCCUUGAUGAUCUGGUGGAAAACUGUCUUAAAUGGCAACCAAGAAUGUUUCUUUAGUCAUUAGACUCUAUAUACAUUGCAGACAAAAUUGUAAAUCCUAUAACAAUAAUGAAUGUGAAGUAUUUGUUUACAUGAACAAUUAUAACAUGGACACCCAUACCUGGUACGUAUAUGUUUGUCAACUAAACUAUGUUCAGGCUUGAAGUAUGAACACUUGAGACAGUUCAAAUAAUCCAAUAUCUUGCUCAUCCUGAUGAAGAAGAAGAUCCAUAACUUUGAUGCCUUCUGCUUCCUCUACCUGAAAUCUGAAGCAGCAUAGCUAGCACCUCUUUCAUGUUAGGUCUGGCUUGUGGUGUCUCUGUUGUGCAUCUUAUUCCAAUUCUUAGUAAUUCACACAUCUCCUCUGCUCCCUUUUCCAGCCCAGAUACCAAAAGGGAUACUGGAAUCAGGCUUCUAGUAAAUCCUUGACGUCCAUCUCCCAUUACCCUUCUUGCCCAUUCAAGAAGACAUUCUUCUCCUCCGUCAACAGCACGUCGCCCCGUUGCUAGCUCCAUAACAAGCACCCCAUAGCUGUAGACAUCACCCUUUGUCGUGGCGUGCCAUAUCUGGCCAUACUCUGGUGCAACAUAGCCAAUUGUACCAGCCACCAUUGUGCUGACAUGACUUCCUCCAUUAAUAACUCUAGCAAGACCAAAAUCUGUAACUCGUGCCUUCCCAUUCUUAUCAAGAAGCACAUUGCUAGCCUUGACAUCUCUGUGCACGAUACAAGGAUAGCACUCAUGGUGUAAAUAUACUAAAGCAUGCGCUACAUCAACUGCUACCUCAAUGCGCCUUUUCCAUGUAAAUCUUGUUCGAUCAAUGAUAAGGUCCUCUAAAGUGCCACCUUCCAUGUAUUCAUAGACCAGCAAUUUUUCUGAUCCAUCAAGACACCACCCAUAAAGUUUUACCAGGUUAGGAUGUGGCCAACCAAAACCAUUUCCACUCAAUGCCUCCAUUUCAGCCUGGAACUCUCUUUCUCCCUCCACACCCUCUCUCUGUAGCUUCUUUAUUGCCACUUCUGUGCCGUUAGGCAAGACCCCACGAUAAACUAUUCCAGAUCCUCCUCUUCCAAUGAUCCUAUCAUUUGAGAAGUUACUAGUAGCUUGGAGAAUAUCAGCAUGAGUAAAGGCUGUUUUGUCUAAGCGGAUUACCAUUACUCUAUCUGACAACCAUGGGGAAGAUGAACUUGAAGUUGACACAAGUUCGUGCAUUCCCUUUGAUUCCUCCAAGAGAUAUCCUGGUAAGUCCGUUGGACUUUUUAUCAUGAGGCAAACAAUGAGAGUCAUGACUCCACAGAGUAAGAAAGCCAGUAGCAGUGCUAAGAAUGCCAAAAAUGCACCCAACUUUUUAGGCUUUUUGGCACUUUCACUUUUGGUUCCCUGUCCACCACCAGUAGAAUUAUCAAUGAAAGGUGGAAGGCGUAAGUGUGGGUCACCAAGGAAUGACCAUUUCUCAAAUGUUGCCAGCUGUCCCGUUUCAGGUAUUACACCAGCGAUGUAUGGAUUGUAAGAGAUAUUAAACUUGCUCAAGUCACUCAGUUUGUUAAAACUAGCAGGAAAGGUGCCAGAGAAGUUGUUGUAUGACAAGUCAAGGUUUUGCAUGCACUUGAUAUUUCCAAUUUCUGUUGGAAUAUCUCCUGAAAAAUUGUUCCUUGUAAUGUUGAGAACUACUAGUCCCAUGAGUGCAAUCUCUGAAGGAAGUUUACCAUAGAAUUGAUUGAAUCCCAAAUGCAGCAUGCUGAAGUUACGCAUAUUGCCUAUAUCAGGAGGGACCUCACCAGAUAAUUGAUUACUGGCUAGUUGAAGAUAGCCUGAGAUGUCUGAUGUUCGAACAUUAGAACCAGGUACACACACUUGAAAUAGGCCAUAGCCUGUGUGCAGCUUAUCCCACAGAUUCCUACAAUUCUUCCUAUUCAGGAGAUUAAAGACAAAGCUAAAUGGUGCAUAAUCAGCUGGUAUCCACCUUCUCAUUGGCAAGCACUCCCCUAAGCCAGCAGUGAUCUUAGUAUUUUGUCUGUUAAAUAAGAAUGUUGGCAUUGGAUUUGCACCAAUGGUUGUCAAUUGGGGAGGAAUUGUGCCUGAGAGUUGAUUGUUUGCUAGGUUCAACCAUAAUAAGCUGCUGCAGUUCCCCAACUCUGGAGGAAUUUCACCUGACAAUUGGUUGUCUGCAAGCGUCAACCACAGUAAUGAGCUCAACUUUCCCAAGCUUGAAGGAAUGGACCCAUUCAACAUGUUGAAGGACAGGUCAAGGAAUUGAAUUGCUUGGAAAUUUCCAUAUUCUGAAGGUAUUUGACCUGUAAAUUGGUUGUAGGCAAGAAUCAAAUAUCGUAAGCUCAUUAUCUGAGAAACUUCAAUAGGCAAUGAACCAGACAAACUGUUGUAGCUCAAGUCCAACCGAUAAAUGUUGGACAAACCAAGAAUUCCUGACGUGUAUAAACCUCCUGUAUAUGAAUUUCCAUGUAAGACAAGGAAUCUGACCUGCUUGAAUUCCCCAAAUAUGUCUUGUAUAUCUCCUCCAAAGCCGUUUCCACUCAGGUCUAGAAAGGUUAAGUUGCUCAGGCCUACUAGAGACUCUGGAAUAUCCUUUGAAAAAUUAUUGCUUCCCAUGUGAAGUUCUUGGAGGCCUGAAAUCGAACCAAUCUCUGUAGCAAUAAGUCCACUGAAUUUGUUCUCAUUUAAAUUCAAUAUCACCAAAUCUUUACAAUUUGAAAUCUCCUUUGGAAAUAACCCAACGAACUGAUUGUGAAAGAGGUCCAAAAUCUGCAAACUGCAAUUCCCUGUGAGAAAUGAUGAAGGGACGGUGCCUGUGAAUUUGUUCUCAUAUAAGGUUAACUCUUUUAGCCUAUCAAAUCCAGACCAUAAGCUUCCAGUCAAAUUAUUCGUGCUCAAAUCAAGAUACUUCAGAUUCGAGCAUCCAACAAACAUAUUCCCAACAUCGCCAGUAAAUGCAUUUGCAGAAACAUUUGCAACAACUAAGCUGGUGCAAUUUUCAGGAAAAGCUGACCUGAUAUCGCCAUCAAUUCUGUUGACGGCCAGAUCAAGAACUUGCAGGCUCUUGAGAAGUGUCAGGUUAAUCUCACCAUCAAAGAGAUUGUGUGACAAAUUCAGGGACUUCAGGUUCUGACAGCGGCCUAAGUCAUCCGGAAUGGCCCCACCAAUGGUGUUCAUAGAGAGAUCCAGGUAGCUUAGCUGUGUCAACUCUGAAAAGUUUCCAAAAAGUCCUCCAGCUAUGUUGUUGCCGGACAAGUUGAUUCCGAUCACACGGUUUCCAUGGCUAUCACAUGAAAUUCCAGGCCAAGUGCAGGGAGAAGUGCCUGCACUAUUCCACAGAUUGUAGCUUCCUCUGUUAACAGGAUUUUUGUCUUCAAGAAAUGACUUCAGGUUGAGUAAAACUUGCUUGUCUGUAUCUAGAGAAUCCGAAGCAACAAGCUUUCCUGUAUUUCAGGGGAUAUUCAACAUUAGUACUGCAAUAAAUUCAUGUCCAGUAAAAAAACAAUAAGAAUCUAAUUACUUCAUCAAGUCAACUCAUAGUCAUCCUUGGAAAACUCAAACAGUUGCCACAAAUACCAACAAACUCUUAAUUUAUCCAAGAAAAGAGAAAAGGGUCGAAAGAUUUGGAAUAUCCACACAGACUCUUACACAUCACGAUUGGCGAUAUGCUGAUAUUACUACUUCUGCAGAAAACAACGGAAAGGUUCUGAUCAUAGCCAUGAAAAAACUUACUAUUACCUGUAAUCAAGACCAAGAAACUGAGCAAUGCUACAUAAAACAGAUGAUCACUUUCGUCUUCAGACAUGAUCAAUGCGAAUUUUCCCUUCUUUUCUCCUUCUUCUUCUUCUGCUUAUUCUUCUUGUUUCUGGUCUAUGUUAGAUGAAUUUUCAGGACCAUGUUGAGAAAAAUGAUGGGACAAAAAGGAACAUUGUGGCUUCACAGAGUUGAGAAAAGGAAAAGCAAAAUAUUUUAGUACAACUCAGAAGCUAUUGAAUAAACAUGAAAUGAAAGCUAGCAAGGUGUUGAAACUAGGAGCGCCUGCAGAUAGAAAAUUGGAUUGGACCGUACCAAACGCAGAAGAAAUGCACGUACGCUACAGUUUAAUACUACCAACAUUUGUUUAUCAAUUCUUUCUUCUUCUCCUUUCAAUUGUUUACUCUGGGCAAUUAACUUGCUUAAUUUUAUACUCUACUUGGUUGUUUCGCAUAUACAUGUCUUGUUGCUCUAGUAUUUGUCCUGUGCCUUGAAAAAUUUAUUCUCCCCACGGGCCAUGACCACCCCAUAAGAAAGAAACAAAAUGGUUUCUUUCUUUUUUUUUUGAAGGGGUAGUUUGGUGUUUUUCCUUCAGAAGUUGGAAUUUGGAAGCCACACGAGUGAUUGGAGCUGCCCAAAGUUGACCAAAUUUGUUUGCACCUUACCGGCUUCGGUUGAAGUCAGAGGAUCUGUCUCCAGAGUCUCCACCUUUUGUUUUGGUUUGGUGAAGUGUAAUUUUGGAGAUUGAAAUUGCUUGCCAGUGGUCGUUUCCAAUAUUGUAAAAAAGUAGAGGGAAUAAAAGAAGAAAAAAAAGAAAAAAGAAAGAAAGGAUCCAAAGUUUUUUGUACUUUUUUUCCUAUUCUUUUCUUUCUUCCAAGUCACUCCAGUCUUUUCUUUCUUGCUGUUACAAGCCUUUCCCUUUCAAUACCCCAAAAAAAAAAAUCAAAAAUUCAAAAUAGAAAAGUCACAAGUACAAAAAUUAAAGAGAUAGGAGAAACCCAAAAUUUUUUUUUUAAAAAAAAAAGAGAAAAAGGAUCCCAGAUAUGUCUUUUGGAAACAUACUUGAGCAUUAAGUACUACUCCACCAAGAUAUGGUAGACAUAAGUUUCAUGUUUAAGAGGCUAAGGAAUUGAUGGUUGGAAAUUGGUCUUUCAAAUGGUACAAGAGGUAUAAUUCAAUAGCAUUCAAUUACACCACUUAAUCCUAUUCUUUUACCCUUUCUGGUGGAUAUAUUAGAAGGGAAGGCACCACUAAGCUCUAUCCAGCAAACAAGCGACUUGGGGUUUUGAUAAUUCUAACUGAGUUUCCCACAUUCAAAUGCCUAAGUAAAAUCCCUUUACAAUUGUAACAAAGUAUAUCAAUUCUGCAGUUAUAAACCUUGAAAAUAACACAACUAAUUUAGGAUGAAACAGCUACUAACAUAUUAUUCAACUAUACUAACUGAAAAACCAGUGCAAGUCAAAUGUAAAUCUCUACUUGAUAGCUAUUAUUACUGGAGGAAGGUCUCAUUUUCGAAAUGUUUUUUGUUCAAUAGUAAAACUUAUCAUUAAUCAGCAAUUGCAUAUAAUUCCUAAUUUAAUUCAGUUAUACAUUGCAGGAAUAUAAUUAAACGCAAAGUAAAUUUUUUGGAAGGAUACCAAUGCGAAAGUGUCCAUUGAUCACUUUCGCAGUUUGUUUUAAAACUCAGUGGUUAUUUUUUUUUUGUCUCUAUGUUGGGGUUUGUAUCUUUCCAUGUUGCCAAGAUAAGAUAAAGUAUGUUCCAAAUCAUAUGGCAAAGACAACAUUAGGCUGGAGAUACACAGGUCAUAAGUCACAUCCGUCCAGCUUUAAAUUAGAGCUGAAAUUGGAUAGAAUACUCUUUCCCUCCUAGCAUGUUGUAAGCAGAAGAUGGUGGAUUCAUACGCAUCCUCAAUUCCUCAUGCCAUCACACCAAAUUAUCUAUUACUGCACAAGAUCACUCUUCCACAAAUAUUAAUCUUGGUUUAGCUACAGUCUCAAAUGAUCUUAAGUGCAUUUUUACUGUAAUUUGCAUCUAUUGCACUGUAAAGCUUAGUAUCGAGACUUCGUUUGGAUUGAGGAUUUGAAAGGAUUUUAAAUUUUUCGUCAAAUUUUCAAAUUCAAAUGUUACCUCACAGGAUUGUGCUAAAUUCAUGCAUUACCAAUGCAAUAACUACUGAAACUAAAUACAUCACUAAAAUCCAUACUAAUGGUAAAAAUUUCAAUCUUAACACAAUCGAGUUGAUGGUCUAUGACCAUAAAACCCUACUAUGAAGACAGACUCAUAUAUUGUGUCAAUAGGGAAUUAAAUGGUCAAAUUAUACUUGUUGGAAUAAGGCAUUCAUGAAGACUUAAUUAAUCAUAGAGUCAUCUAUUCCUCAUGUGUAAUAGAUUGCAAUCUGAAGAAACUGAUAGUUUUGAUGACAUAUAAGAUUGUACAAGCCUUUCCAUUCAUCUUAUUUUAUUUAAUGGUUCGAAGAGGGCAGGCAGUGUGACCUAAGCCAAGAAAUGAUGAUAGUUCUUAUUGUUGAUGAGGUUUUCAAAAGUAGGACAGAUAUAUAUAAUAGAAUUUCACAUUAUAUUCUCCAUCCAGGAAAAAAACAAGGAAAUAAAAAAAAGCAAAAAAGAGAUAGGAGAAUUUGACAAUUAUAUGCAUUUGUGACAAUAGGGAAUAUACCCUCGAGAGGAAGGAAAACCUAGCAGAGAGUUGAAUAAAAAAUAUCAUACUUUGAAGCUGCCUACAUGUAACGUUGCACGCAUUUAACAAAAAAAAAAACUCGAAAUUUGGUCGCUCAUAAGUUUUUGUAAAGCUUGAUUUAUCUGGUUCUGGAGAAGCUAAUCAGCAAUUGAUGUAGGACUAGACUAUGAUAGGAAUUAAGGAGUUGAUCAAGCCUAAGAUAAUAUAGCUACAUUAUAUUGCUCUAUUUCUUUAGGUGUUUAAGCAAAUGGGUACAUUUUUUUUUUUUUUUUGACGGAAGAAGAUGAAUACUGAUUCUGUUCUAGAGAAGUGAAGUUGAAAUUUGUUAGUAGGUAGGUCAGAAUUUGAUGCUUAAAUCAAAAUGAUCACAACGCUGAAUUAACCUGGCAAAUGCUGUACCAUUUAAGGUUACAGCCACAAGUUUCCGCGUUAUACCCCAACAAAAUGGAAUACGCUAUUCGCUUAUAGCUAGUGAUCUGGUCUUUCUCAAUUACAGUAAUAGAAUGUAGCUAGUGCUCUGGUCUUUCUCAGUUACAGUAAUAGAACUUUUACAUAUAACUCUUUUCUAUGUUAAUUUCACCUUAUUCAAAAGGGAUUUAGUUUUUGUUGGGCUCAGAGAAAGCCAAACUCGGGGAGAAUUUAACCACGAGUUAGAAUGGGAAUCACAACCAUGCGUUUGACACCACAUCCAACCCAAAACCUUAAGGCAUUGAGUCUAUGGAUCAUUCCUACUUAUAUGUUUCUCAUUCUACUCAUCUCUUUCCGAUGUGGGAUAUUGAUUCACACUUGAUAUCCCAACAAUCUCCCCCUCAAUUGUGAAUUUCUUCCACAUCGGACCUCUCUCCCUAGCCCAUCCACUCCAUCAAGCCCACUUCAAUUUGGAGUGUACGAUUCUUGCUCAAGAGCCCACAUGCCCUUGCCUCACUGCAGGUCUGCAUGAUUCUUUUUUUUCCUCGCUCUUAUCCAAACCACGCCUUACCACUCCCACUAGCUUUUUAUCCUGGAGUCACUACCUAGCCGAACUAUCGGCUUUGAUACCACUUGUUGGGCUCAGAGAGAGCCUAACUCGAGGAGAAUUUAACCAUGAGUUAGAAUGGGAAUCACAACCAUGGGGUUGACACCACAUCCAACCCAAAACCUUAAGGUAUUGGGUUUAUGGAUCAUUCCUACUUAUAUGUUUCUCAUUCUACUCAUCUCUUUCCGAUGUAAGAUAUUGAUUCACACUUGAUAUCCCAACAGUUUUCUCAGUUAAAUUUUUUUUUCUCAAUAAGGAAAAGAGGAUCUAAGAGGUACGAAGAAGGUAGGAGGGUUUGAAUUUAGAACCUCUAAUUUCUAGGAAUUUAGGUUUUAUUUGACUGUGAAAAUGUACAUAAUGGAUCCACUCAAGAGAGGGGCAUGUAAAAGUACGCGCAAAUGCGCACCAAGAGCUUUUGAUGCCUUUUUCGUUGUGAAAUAAACCUACUAGGUGCAUGUUUUCUUUAAUAUAAUUGGGAGAAAUGGAGUGGAAGGAAAAAAUGUACCGUUUUACACGCAAAACUAGGAUAGCAGCUAAUAUUGAAAAUUGUCUUAUAUAUAAUUAAUCACUGACCAUGGGAUCAAUGUCUUUUUCUACCGAACUUACGGAAUUGUUGAGCAGAAAAGACAUCGAUUAAGAAAGUAGUUGAUGACCAAAAGAAUGCUAAAUCAGAACAGAGAAAAUUCCAUAUAGGUCUGAAAAUUGUACUUUUGGUCCUAGAUGCUUGGGUAUGGAUCAAAAUGGCCCAUAGAAAUCUACAUUUUGAGGAGAGUUUCAACAACAACUAAAAAUAUAUCCAUUAGUUAAACCCAGUGACAGUCAUUCUCUCAUUAGUUUCAUCUCUAAGUUGGGUAAAAUUUUGUAGAUUAAGGAUCAAUUACUGUCGUCAAAAAAUCAUGAAGAAAUAAACUGCGUCAUUUCUCAAAUUUAAGGGAUCAGAUCGCUUUGCUAAAAAGAAAAGGACCAUUCUGAUUGAUGUCCCAAACAUUCGAGGCCAAAAAUUGCGUAUUUCAAUUCACAAACUCACAAAGGAGAAUGUUGUAAACUUUUAUUGGAUGCGAGUAUAGUGCUUCAAUGGUCAAAUGAAAAGGAUAAGUUCUUUCAAAGAGUGGUUAGUUAGGGUUAUUGUCCACAUAAUUUCUUUGACGUCCCAAAUUGAACAAAAAAGACUGCAAUUACAACUACAAUCUCUCCCCAUCGCUUUCUUAAACUAACCUCAUUUUACCAAAAUAAAAUAGCCCAAAUUAUGGACCUACUUGUACUCACGUGUACACCUCCAAGUCAAGUGCGUGUGUGUGUGUGUGUGUGUGUGUGUGUCUUUUUCUUGAACAUGUCUACUUACGAUAAGUACGAAUUUUUGUACAUACAUAAUUUUAGCGUACAUCAGCAUGAAAGGUUUUGUCCCCUAUGGACAAUUGAUCACGCUUUCAACAAUAUUAUGAUUGAUACAAAGUCAGAGGAAUCUUUCCAAUAAGAGUUUUGGUCCAAUCAGAAUAUGAAAUCAGAGCCAUAUUCUUCCAAAUGUAAUAGCUUAGGUUGAAAUUAGUUGCAAAGCUUGACUAUUGAAUUUUCCAAAGAAGCUGUGAGCGGAAGAGGAGGCACCCUGUCUGGAAUUAUACACAUAUUUCUACCAGACAACAGCUAAUGAGCAGAUCAAAGAAAGGAAUAAAUUCCCUCGAGAAAAAACAAAUGAAGUAAUGAACCAAAAUCAUAUGGAUUUAAAUUUUACGUGCAAUUUUUUUUUUCCCUAUCUAAAUAAGCUUUUAGACCACAUAAGUCAGAUUAUUAUCAAUUCUAGAUUAAUAUGCAAGAAAACUUGGGAUUCUUUCGUACUCCAUGUUUGAGCAAAAAGCACCUCAAAUUUCAUUUUAGCAAUCGACUCAUAUAACCCCAAAUCAAUAUUGCAUAUAAUCUGGUUGGAUCGUAAAUAUGCUUAAAUUCGACCUAAGUAAAUGUUGUUUAACUUUAGAUGAGAGCAGUGUAAUGAUGAAUUACUAUUUUGAGAAAAGUUGGGAUAGAGUAUUAUUUGAAAUAAUUACUACAGCACUUUUUAUAAUGUGAUGUAUGUGAGAUAAAAAACUAAUUGGGAAUAUAAAAAAGUGAGUUGUAAAAUUUGUUUACGAUGCAAGCAAAAUAUUAUUUGAAUAAUUUAACUGUACAAACACUUAUGGGAUGGUUUAGCGUCAAUUUUGACUUGCAAGUAAAGUUAAAGUCGAUAAAUUUAAUAAUUGGGCAAAUUUCCGACAUAAAUAAAAUGCAAUGUGUAACAAAUUCAAUAAUUUGAAGGCGUAGAUUAAAUUUACUUACUUUGUAGGCGAAGGUGAAGAUGAAUUCAAUACUUCACUUAAAAAACAUUUUCAAGUGUGAUAAUUUCAAACAGCAAUUUGUACUUCCGAAAUUCGUUUAUGAAGGAACGAGGAACUAACUCAAUUUUGAGAAUGUGAUUUACUUUUGAUUAUUGUACUAAAAUACUAAAUUAACAUUAUGCUCAUUUGAUCGAUGUCUUUGAUUCGUUUUGGGUCUACUCUACAAGUGAAAAAAUUGAUUGAACGACCUCAAUUUUCUUAAACACUGAUAUUAAAACAGCAAAUUACUGAUGAGUCACUCUUAAAAUUUCUAAAAUGAAAUGGAACGGAUUGUGUUUUUCUGAUAAUGCUCAUGCAAAAGUAUGCAGAGUUUUGGUAUUGAUGAAAUAUAACAUUCCAUGACAAGGCUAAAAGAAUUUCUUGCAUAAUUGCCUUCGUAAUAUAAGGAGUGUUGUGAAGAUAAUCACAACAUGAAAGUUUUUAUUAGUACGAAUAAAUGUUUUGAUUCUGGCAUUAAGAAAAGGCAGGGGUUAAAUUCAAAUCCCUCCAAUCUAAGUUCGCACCUUAUAUAACUUUUAAUACUAUUGGCACAAGUCAUCAGUGCAUUUAAGUUGUGGAUUUUAGGAUGAAGGUGUGUUGAUUUAGCCACUUCUUAUUUCCUUUUUUUUUUUUUCAAUAUUGAUGUUAUUGCAAUUUUAAUUUUUUGCUUGCUCAUGCAAAAUAUAUCUAUGGCAUCUUGACACAUUAACUUCACGGAGAUAAAAGGAGUGAAUGAAAUGAAACUACGGUUGUAUAGAGAACUGCCAAAGUAAUGGUAGAAAAGACACAAUCUGAAUAUAUAGUCCAACUUUUCUUGCUUAAACUUUCAAACUUUCAAUUGUCAAGAACUUGCCGUACAAGCUGAACAUACCAUUGGUGAGAGACAUGGAAAAAAAAAACAGCUCGAUCAUGAAGAUUAAAUAAUCAUCAAAAAGUGUCCCAAUGACUCAUUCUUGAGUAGUGAUUUUUGCUCGAAUGAUUUUUUUUUUUUUUAUCAACUAUAUGCAGCAAUUAUGCCUAAAUACAAAGGGCUCAAGACAGAGCAAUUGAUUACGCCAGUCAAUUCCAAGUUGGUAUCUAUAACUACAUAACUAGCAAGGUCGGCACAUAACUUUGACUCUAAUGAAACCUUUUCUAUCUGUUGGUUAAAUGGACAACCAUAAAAAAUCUCAUAUUAACAUACAUGGAUCAUAAUAAUUUUAUACUAUGAUUCGAUACUUGCGUCAAUUGAAACGUACAAACGUGAUGCCUUUUUUUAAUUAAUCACUAAAUCAAGGCAUGGUCUUGAUUCUUGAUUUUGACAAAAAGUUGAAGACCAAACUUCAUAACCUACGUGAAGCUUUCAAACACUAAUUAUGGUAACUUGCACUUCUUGAUCAAGAAAGAAAUGGAUACAUUCACAUAAUAUCGUUUAUGCAAAUUCAUGGUCAAUGAUUUGACUAAUCGAAUUUGACUUAGGAUUAAUUGCCACAACGAAUCUUCUGUUCUACUCUUUGUGCCACUUUCUGUUCCACUCUUUAGUAUAUUGCUAUUUCUCCUUCAUAAGUAUAAUGUUUUAGUUCUUUUUUGUUUUCCUAAAAUCCAAUAACUGUUAAUUGAGUAAUCCACAAAUUUUAACAUAUUCAAAAAAUCAAAAUGCAUACAAAUGAGAUUUUUAAUGAAUUUUCUGAUGUAUUUUUUAAUUUUUUAUUAUAUAUUACUUUUUUGAGGCUAUUGUAUUUAAUUUUUUACUCAAUUAAUAGUUAUUGAAUUUUAAGGAAACAAAAAAGAACUAAAGCAUGAUGUUUAUGAAAGAAAAAUAAUAAUAUAAUAAAAAGUAUGACAAAGGUGGCAUAGAAAAUGAGAUAGAAGAUCCGUUGCGAUUAACUGCAUUAUAACCUAUUGAACUUUUGGAAUGAUUUGUACUCCCUACCCCUCCCCCAAUCCUCUCCUCUUCCGGUUUUUUUUUUCUUUUUUAUUUUUGGCUUCCAUUUUCUUCUUUUUUGCACCCUCUACUUUACUUUCACUAUACUGUUAAACAAUCAUGAGAGCCGGUAUCUUGACCAUUAUGUUUCUCCGCCUUGCAUACAAAAUAACAUUAAUCAUAAUUAUGAUAACAUUUAAAACCUCGGAAAACUUACAUGUCAUACUUAAUUGAGUGAUUUAACUACACAAAAGUUUGUAUACUACCAGUCUACCACUAUACAUCUUUGAGUAAGUUGGACUAUCAUAAAUUAUUUUCAAAUUGCAUGUUUUGCUUUUACAAAUGAGACAGAACAGUAAAGUUAGAGAGAAGAGAAAACUACAAAUAAGUUAGAGGUCAAGACACCAAAUCUAAACACGCCUAACAUAAUGGAUGGUGGGAGCUUUUGUGAAGAUUGGAAAGGAUGGAAUAAAGAAAAGAAAAAAAAAGGACAAAGUAAAGAAAUAACAAAAACUAAAGGCACAACGAAAUAUUAGAUGUAAGUCGAGGAUACUCUAGUCGAGGGACAUUGAGAGUAGUGGGUAAAGUGCCUAUUUGAAAAAUUGAGGGGGUAAAAUGCAAUUCACCUAAAAAAUAUGGGGAUAUGAUGCAAUUAACCUUUCGUUUUAAGAUUGGUCAGCAGAUUGUUCCGCCGUGACCCACCUGCACAAUUGAUUAACUUUAGAAAUUUGCAACGAAAGGACGUAUCAAAAAGCAAAUUGGGAUGUUCGUAUUCUUAGGCCACAAGACCCAUUGAAAACGUGCUUCAUGAAAUGCCAAGUUGUCCACGCUUGUUAUUCAACUCCAAGGAGCAAGAAAAGCGUUUUUGGAAGUUCUUCUUCCCCUUGUACUUUAAUGUUUCUGAAGGAAAAAAAAAGGGCGCAGCCAUUGAGCUUAAUCCCAUUUACUUAUUUUUAAGUAAUUAAAUGAAGUUUUAAUAGAAAUGAAUAAACUUCUUCAUAUGAAUUCUUUUGUCAUACACAAAAAAGGGAAAAGAUAAUUAAGGGACGAAUAGAUAAAUUACUUUUUUCGAGCCCACAAAAUUUACUGUUUCAUAGGAUCAAACUAGUGUCGUUAUAACUUAAUUGAGAACACCAUUAUUUUCCAUCAAUGCAUACUCUGGCCUUCAGAGGAAAAAAUGGUAUUCAGCUGGAAAGAAAUCAAAUUUGAUAAAGUUUGUAAAAUAUCUUCAUUACAAAUAAUGAAGAUGGUUAAGAUGCCUCUCCAAUUGGCUUUUUGUGUCAUUUGAAGCCACAAAAGUUAUUAUAUAUUAAGAAAGAUUUAUUUGGACUGGCCUCCCUUUGUCUGAUUGAAUUGUUUAGGAUCGCUAAAUUUUUAAUAUGUACUGAUGCAGCACUAAUGAAAGCAACUUUAUAAAGUGGCUUUUUAACAUUUUUCUCAACAUAAAAGCAUAAUUAAUUUGCUUGGUGCUCUCAUUCCAUCCUCAACUACACAUAGAAGACAUAAGAAAAAAAAUUGAAAUCCCUAGAAAGGUAAAGAACACUAUUGAUAUUGGGCUGUUUUUAUUGUUUGAUUCUUUUGAAAUCAUUUGUUAAUAAGCCAAGUGCUGGAUGUGAUGCAAAAAGAUGCAUAGUAUUAGUGACUACGGAUAUCAUUGCUGACCUCAGAAAUAUUGCCUUUGAAUCCAAAUAAGUAAUUAUGUGAUGGCUUUGAGAAUAUGCAUGAACAUGCAAGUUGUGAUCACUGACUUUUGGGAUAACAGCAGACUUGUCCGGCAUACCUUACUGGAAAAAUAUUUCCGUUUUCGGAACAGCUUCUUUUGACCCUACUAGAAGGGGAAUUGUUUGUCAAAUGCCUAAGAUGGCCAUGCAUAUUCUGCAAAUGGCUUGAGGAGAAAUUUCCAUCAUUAUUAUGGAUUUUAGAAGUGUUCUGCAAACGGGUUAGUUUUAGUGUAGAUUUGCGUCUAGGUGGUCUUCGCAUUUAUGAAGUGCGAGCUCCGGAGAGAUCGCAUUUAUGAAGUGCGAGAUGUCAAAUUCUGAGAGGAAAAAAGAAACAAGUCCACCUAGAGGUCCUAUACGUAGAGCCCAUAGUGCACUUAAAAACAAACUUCAUUUUGUUAGAAACCAACUCAUGUACAAUUCUUUAAAAAUAAAAAAAUGUGAAUGUGAGCUCUUGCCUUCCAUUUUUUUGUUAUUUUAUUUUUGUGAAAACAUUACGGUUGCUUGUUUUUGUUUUUACAUCUUCGUUGUAUAGAAUUAUUGAGAAAGAAGAGAUAAAAAUAGAAAAGGAAAUCAUCAUGAUUUACUCUUUGACAACAAGAGAAAGGAAAAAGAGUUUUACGAAGGAUGAGCGUUAUAAAUGAUGUGAUAAAUAUAAACUCUAAAUUGUCGAUUUGUCCAUAGUUAUUAAACCUGGCCCAACCCGAUGGUUCAAUCGAUCAACUCGAUGAAUCGGCCAUAGACCAGGCCGGGUUGCUAAUUACAUCGUUUGAACAGCAAAACCGUUGACUUUUCAACGAAUCGGCCGGUUUUGUGAGAAACCCGGGUUGUUAUGUGAAAAUUUUUUAGAGGAUGUUGCAUUGAUGGUUCAAACUUGGGACCUCAAGUAUAGGAAUGUAGUGCAAUCACCACUGGACCAACAAUCCAUUUGUUAGUUGUUUGGCCCUACUUAUCUUAUGUAUUAGAAUUUUGUUCUUAUUUUAAUUCUUCAAAACAAAAUUUAUUUGGAAUCUUUUAAUAAAAUUUUAUUAUUUCCCAAAUUCCAUAAGGUAAAUUUUAAUAAAAUAACAUUAUCUAGUUUAUUUCCAUAAGUUAAAACCAAAGCUUGUUAAAAACAAUGAAAUUUCCUUAAGGCAAAUUUAAGUUUUGUUGAUUCUUAUAAGAAUUAAUGAUUCGAUAAUAAAUUAGACUAAUUAAACAUUUACUAAGGCAUAAUUUACUAUAAUUUUAACCAUAUAAAAAAUUAUAAGACGUAAUAUUUAAAUAUAUGUAGUGACCCAUCAGUUGGACCACUCACUCACUAGUUGAACUAGUAACCCCUUGACCCAUCUCUUUCACCGGAUUCCUCCCCGGACCGGGUUUAAUAACUAUGGAUUUGUGUGAAUGAAUUUUAAAGAACAUAAAAUUUUAAACUCGCACACUUAGAAUCCGAACUUAGCAUAUGUCGCAUUUGUAGAAUGCGAACGCCUCCAUGUCGAAACAGCACACCAAAGUAACCCCUUUUGUGGAAUGUUCUUUUCUAUUUUCCAUCAUAAUCUUAGAAUUGUCUCCCAAGCUAGUGUUGCAUAACUAGUAUGCCAAUAAUGACAAAAGCAUAGGACCGCUGGUUUUUUGAACAGUCACCUCAAUUGAUUGUGAAAAGACCAUUUUAAUUCACAGAUAAUCCAAGCAAAGCUAUAAUCCUUGCAAAAAUCUACAAAAUAACCAACUAAAAAGCAUAACUUCUCAUAGAUUCCUUUGUAUCAUUGCCACAUUGUCUGGUUGUUCUGGUAAGCUUAAUUGCAUUUUCAAAAAUACUACUUAAAUAUUGUGACACUGGCGGCUGUCUAGAUGGGCUCAAGGCUUUGGGUUUCAGAAUAUGUUUCUCACUCUAUGUCAAACUGAAGUGGAUGAGGGGUUUUCGAUGAUAAUGUGGAUAUCCAUCCAAUGUUGCAGUGGAUGCUUGGGGAUUAGGAAAUGGACUUGUUAUUGCUAAUUCUCCGAAUAGACUAUCUUACUAAUUUGCUUCUGUUAUCUUGGAAUGCAGAUACCCGAUGAGGAAAUCUUAUAGAUCUCUCAUCAGGCUUCAACGCAGCAAGAAACAUGCGUCAGCAGUGAAAAUUAAAGGGAUAAUUUCAUAAACCUUCCCUGAGAUCUUUGAUAAUUGCUGCCACCUCUCUUGAGGUUUGAAAAAUUCUACCUACCUCCCUUGGUGUCACGAAAAUAUUAUAAUAGCCUUCACAACACUACAAAUUCUAAAUAAAAAGUGAGGUAAAGGAAAAAGUAAACCGCAUUAUGAAAAUAUUUCUUUAUCCAAAAACUCUAACCUUAUCUCACCUAAUACAUUAUAUUCAAUUACUAGGUCAUUUAAAUGGAUUUCUUACUUAAUUUUAUAAAUAGCCGAUUAGUAGGGAUGCAUUUGUUAAAAACAGUUUCUUCACAACUUACUUACCAAAGGGAAAAAAAAGAAGUCCAAAUACUAAAAAAUGAUGCCUUAAAAUAUAGCCUAAAUUUUGCUGCAAAGAACUACUUUAAAAAGAUGUCUUUUUCUUUUAAUUUAUUUUGUAAAUCAAAUAGGGACAAUAUAGGAUAUUUGUUAGACUUUUUGUACUUACAUCACCACCUUACCAAAAUAUACUUUCUAGGGGAGGUUUCUAUAAUUUUUCAAACCUCAAGGAUGCAAUCGUGACAAAUCUCAAAGGAGAUUUAUGAAAUUAUUGCAAAAUUACAGUUUUGCUUCUUAUAAGUUGAUUAUUUUUUAAUAACUUUAUAUAUAUAAAUAUAGUAAAUUUCAUUAGCAAAUUGAUACAAAGACAAGUCAACAUAAGAGCUUCAUUUGUAGUGAUCAAUCGCUCCGAUGAAUCUCGUAGUUGAAGCUUAUAUAUUUGUUUUCCAAGAAAGAAAAGUAUUAGUCAAGUUUUCGAAGUUAAAUUUUGAAUUCAACCUAAUGGGCUUUUGUUUUGUGGUUUGGCCCACCAAAUGGCUUGGACCACAAGCCCAACAAUCUCCCCCUCCAACUCAUUUGAGAGGCUCCACCAAACCUGCUUGUCUAUAAAAUAAGAGUUUUUCCCUAAACAAUGCAUUAGUCAGCAUAUCAGCACCAUUGUCAUUAGUGUGAACUUUCUCAAGUAUCAAUAACUUGAAACCUAAUACAUCUCGAUCCAGUGAUAUCCACAUCAAUGUGUGUGGACCGAGAGUGAACUGCAGAAUUCUUACACAAAUGAAUGGCAUUCUAACUCUUACAAUGAAAACUAUACUUUUCUUGUUUCAUACCUAACUCCUGAUGGAAUUUCUGUAACCAAAGAGUCUCCUUGCAUGCUUCAGUGGUUGCAAUGUACUCUACCUCCAUACUGAAAAGGGCGAUACAUUUCUGUAACUUAUUUUGCCAUAAUACUACUCCCCUUGCAAAAAUCAUCAAGUAUCUAGAUGUGGACUUCCCAUUGUCGAGAUCACCUGCCAUAUCUGCACCGGUGUACUCAUCUAGCAUGGUCCUAUCAUUGUCGAAGUACAAACACAAUUUGGAAGUUUUCUUGAGAUAUCUAAGGAUCCAUUUGACAGCAUUCCAAUGCUCCUUACCAAGAUUGGAAAGAUAUCGACUGACUACCCCAACUGCAUUAGCUAUAUCUGGUUUAGUGCAAACCAUAGCAUACAUCAAACUACCAACAGUUGAUGCAUAAGGAAUCUUUUUCACGUUUUCUUUAUUUUUCUCACUUGUAGGACAUUGCUUAAUACUUAACUUGCAGUGACCUGCAAGUAGAAUAGAGACUUCCUUAGUUUUAUUCAUGUUAAACUUGUCAAACACCUUCUCAAUGUACUUUUUCUAUGACAACCAAAAUUUUUCACUAUGCUUAUCUCGAGAGAUUUUCAUUCCAAGAAUCGUUUAGUCGGACCCAAAUCUUUCAUUGCAAAAGAUUUACUUAGCUCAUUUUUCAACUUGUCAAUUUUCAUAGCAUCACGGCUAACAGUCAGCAUGUCAUCAACAUAUAGCAAGAGAAUAAUAAAAUCACCAUCAAAAAAAUUCUUUACAUAGAUACAAUGAUCAGAUGUAGUCCUAUGGUACUCGUGAUUCGUCAUAAAGGAGUCAAAUUUCUUGUACCACUGUCUUAACACCUGUUUCAAUCCAUACAAAUUCUUUCUUAGACAGCAUACAAGAUUCUCUUUGUCACUUUUUUGAACCCCUUCAAUUGGUCCAUAUAAAUUUUUUCUUCCAAAUCACCAUGUAGGAAAACUGUUUUUACAUCAAGUUGUUCAAUCUCUAAAUUCAAGUUAACUGCAAUUCCAAGAACAACUCGGAUUGAUGACAUCUUUAUCAUAAAAGAGAAAAUUUUCUCAAAAUCUACACCUCUCUUCUGACUGAAUCCCUUCAUAAUCAAUCUUACCGUAUAUUUUGACUAUGCACUAUGCUCUUGAGUCUUCAACCUAUAGACCCAUUUUUUUACAUCUGUCAGCAACACAUGCUCAUUAAGAUUAUAUCUGCUAGAAGGUCUCAUUUCUUUGUUAAAUCUCCUAGACUCAUCUUGUGGUGGAGGUGGUGGAGGUGGUGAAGUUGGUGGUGUCUAUUGCUCAAGUUCAUCAGUAGCAGUAUCAUUACCAUCAAUAUCCUCUCUCUGCUCUAUCUCAACUCUCCCAUGAUCAAAAUCAACUGGUACUAGUACUGAAACUGGAUUUGGAUCUAAACUAGUAGGAAUGUCAUUCGAGGAUCUUGACUUGUCAUCUUUAUUAAUAUCUUCAAUGGUUUGAUUUUCAAGAAAGACAACAUCUCUGAUUCUGAUCACUUUCUUUUCAAUAAGAUCAUACAGUUUAAAACCAAAAUUUUCAUGCUCAUAACCUAAGAAAAUUUUGAUUUCACAUCAAAUUUUGACCUUUCAUCUGUGGGAAUAUGAAAAAAUGUCUGACAAUCAAAAACUCUCAAAUGUUUAAAGGACAUAUCUUUCCCCGUCCUUACUCUUUUUAGGAUAUCACCAUCCAAAGAAACUGACGAAAAAAAAUUAAUCAAAUCAACUGCAGUCCUCAUUGUUUCACUCCAAAUGAUUUUGAUAAUUUAGUAUUAGAGAGCAUGCAUUUGACCCGCUCAGUGAUAGAUCUGUUCAUCCUCUUUGCUAUUCCAUUCUCUUGAGGAAUUUUUGGUACUGUCUUUUUUAGUCUGAUCACAUAGGACUUGCAAUAGUUUUCAAACGGUCUCCUGUACUCACCACUAUUGUCAACACGAACACACUUUAACUGCUUGCCAGUCUCUCUCUCAAUUUUGUUAUAAAAAUCUUUGAACACAUCCAAAACCUAAUCUUUGAAUUUCAAAGCAAAAUACCAAACUUUUCUAGUAAAGUCAUCAAUAAAAGUUACAAAAUAAACAGCACCAUUAAGAGACCUAUCUUUCAUAUAGCAAACAUUAGUGUGCACCAAUUCUUAUGGAUUCAAUUUUCUAGAUAGAGAAAAAUUUUGAAAUGCAAUUUUGUGUUGUUUUCCAUAAAUAUAGUCAACACAAAGUUUAAGUGCAUUACUUCUGAUUCAGGUAGAAACUGCUUGAGAAUAAGUGUCUGAAUUCUCUUUUCACUCAUGUACCCAAGUCGAAUUACGAAUUGCAUUCACUUCUCCUUUCCCCAACUUGGCUUGGAUCAAGUAAAGGGUACUUUGUUUUUUUCUUUUGGUAACAACGAGAUUUUGGUUGCUAAGUUUUCAUUUGCAUCCACCUUACGAAUUAUGGUAACCCUCAUCAUCAAAUUUUUCUAUAGAAACAAGAUUAAGGCCAAUAUCAGAAACAUAUCCAACAUUUUUCAAGACUAACUAGCACCCGAUAUUUGUGUUCAAAUAUAUGUCUCCCAUACUAAUAAUUUUGUCCGAAACCUCAUUCCUCAAUGUAACAUAGUCAAAGUCUCCUUCAGUGUAAGUUGAGAAAAAAUACCUAUGAGGAGCAAUAUGGUAGAAUGUAUCCGAAUCAACUACCCAUUCACCAUCAUGAAGGUAAUAUUCAUAUGACCAUCAUCACAUAACACAAACAUAUCAUCAUGAGCUACCAUGACUGCUGUAGUCUCUUCAUUAUUUUUUUCUUUCACCUUGCCUUUGCUCUCUUUUUUUUUUUUUUAACUUGUUCCCAUUGUAAGAUUCUACAGUCCUUCAUAUAAUGCCCAUUCUUUUUACAAUAAAAGCAUGUAUCAUUUUUUUGUGACUCAGAUCUGUAUCUGGAUCUGUCAUUCUUGUUGUAGGGUCUUCUACUUUUGCUUCUCUCCCUUCAUUCUUUCUUUUCCAUCACUAGGGCUUGGAAUCAAUUCAUAAUUUCUUGUUCCUUCCUCUUGAGUUCUUCAUUCAUCAUAGCCUCUUUUGCUAUAUCCAUGGUCAGCACACCAUUCGAAGUUGAAUUGCUGAUAGAAACCACCAUUGUCUCCCAACUAUCCGAUAGUGAACUGAGCAAUAGCAAAGUUUGCACUUCAUCAUCCAAGUUCAAAUUCAAUGUAGCUGUUUGGUUUAUCAAGCCCUGAAAAUUACUGAAAUGUUUAGUCAUAUUUGCACCAUAUUUGUAUCUCAUCCGAGUAAUUUGUUUCAGACAAGAGGCUUUAUUUAAAUCGAUUUUUUUUUCGUACAUACAUUCUAACUUUUUUCAUAGUAUAUCAACUCUAGUUUCAUUAGCAAAGCGUUGAAAAAUAUUCUAACCAAUCCACAUUCUAAUAUUACCAAUAGUUUUUCUGUGCAUAACAGCCCACUUUUCAUCACUUUAUCAUUUAGCCAACCCUUAUCUCCUAGAAUAGACUCAAACAAAUCUCUACAAUACAGGUAGUUUUCCAUUUUAGACUUUCAAAUUGAAUAAUUAGUUACGUUCAAUUUUAUCAUACAACUACUAUUAGAAUCAUCCAUUUUAACUAGUACAAAUGAGCAGCCACGCUAUUCUAAUGCCACUGUUGGAAAAAUGGUAUCGGUGCAAGCACACAAUAUCAGAGUUAAUCUAGAACAAAUUACUCUUUUCUCAACUACCAGUUAAAAUAGGAAUAAAUCAAAUCACCAAAAAACGAUGUCAACAAUAAUAAUAAAAUGCAGAAAAAUAAAAGGUAAAGGAUACCAAGAUUUUUAACGUGAAAAAUCCAAAUUAAAAAAAAUCACGGGAUCUAGUCCAAUCAAAAACUCCACUAUCAUAAUAAUGAAAAUACACAGAUCUACCCGAAAUAUUCGGAUAACAACAAUAUUACCAGUAUCAACCAAGCGAAAUUGUUACAAAAUCACCCCCAAAAAUUAUAACCAUCAAAAAAGUGGAUUUGGAAGGGUGUUACCAAACGAAAAGGAAAUCCAAAAUUUGAACCAGUAGAUGGGUAGAAUUUGACGAGAGAGUCACGUGGGUAAAAUUUCGUCUCAAUUAAGUUUCGAAUCACCCUCCAAUCAAGAUCUUGAAGUUGUUUCUCUCUCUAGUUUCUCUCCCCAAUUUCUCUCUCUUUGUUCCUCACCAAGAAAAGAAAAGCAGUGGCUGAAUUUUUUUUCUUCUUCGGUUGAUGAAUCUCACAACUGAAACUUAUAUCUUUGUUUUUGAAGAAAAAAAAGUACUAGUCAACUUUUCCAAGUCAAAUUUUGAAUUCAAUCUAAUGGGCUUAUAUUUGUGGUUUGGACCACCAAAUGGACUAGACCACAAGCCCAACACAUAGUAUAUCAUUCGUGAUAAAAUGUAAAUUUAUCACAUUGAUUAAUCAAAGUUGAAUCUAAUAUCACGGUAAGGAAACAAUUUCCAAAUAUGUAUAUGCAGUGGAAAUUUGAAAUUUAUUUCCUAUAAAAUUAUUGUCUUUGAUUAAUUUUGUUCAAUACAAAAGAGAGUUCACAUAGACUACAUCAAGAUUGAUGCAUUUUCUUUAUGAACAUUGCAGGUUGUAGACAAAGUCCUCCUACAUUUGAGACGCGAAGCAUUUCACUUGUUUUUUUUUUUUUAUAUUAACUCGAUGUGGAAGCGAAGCUCUUUUUUCCCUUUUCUCCUUCAGUCUUUUUGAGGAAAGAAGGGCACAAUCAUUAAGCUUAAAUCCUAUACAGUUGUUUCUGGUAACUAAAUAAAUGCUUUUUUUUGGUUAUUUUACCUAAUUUUAGAUUGUAAUUUUCAAAAAAUCAAAUUUCUUUUAUUACAUUCUCGCCUGCUUUUAUACCUAGAUUGUAUUUAUUUUUUUUCAAUACACAAAUCGAACUAACUCUAUAUUCUACUUAAGUGUUGCAAAUUCGGAUUACUCAGAUUUUUGUUAAAUUUUUGUGGUACCUUAUAACAGCACAGAGACUUAAUGAAGAUGAAAACAUGUUUUAUAAAAUUAUUUGCCGUAUAGAAAAACAGAAAAGACAAUUAACUGAAGAAUAGAUAAGCUACUUUUUUGAGGUUGCACGGAAUGUGACAAGUAGAUGCAAAUAAACAAUCAUGAAAUUUUCCAUUUCACCAGAUGAAAUUAGGGUGAUUAUUAUUAAAUCAAUGGGAAAAACCAUCAUUUUCCAUCAAUGCUAAAUGCAGCCAGAAAGAGUUCUAUUUCUGAGGUGCAGGCACUACGUGCCAAUAGUAUACAAAUAAAAGGUUUGUGUCAGCAUUGGUAUGGAGCCAUUUUUAAAGGUAUUCCUAAGGCUUUAAAUUUGAUAAAUUUUGUGUACUAGCUCCAAAUAAUGAAGAUGAUUGAAAUGUUUUUCAAUUGGUUUAUAUGUCAUUUGAAGCCAUCAAUGGCACUGUGUAUACAUACACUAGGAAAGAUUUAUUCAAGCUGGAUUCUGUCUCUGAUUGAAAUGUUUAGGAUCGUUAAAUUUUCAAUAAAUACCAAAGCAGCACUAAUGAAAGCAACUUUUUAGAGUGGCUUUCUAACAUUUUUCUCAACGUGAAAUUAAAGAGUACUACUGAUCAUGAGCUGAUUUUAAUGUUUUUGAUUCUUUGUGAAAUCAUUUGAUAACUAGCCAAGGUGCUGGAUGUGAUGUAAAAAGAUGCAUAGUGACUAGGGAUUGCAAACCUCAGAACUUUUACCUUUGAAUCCAAAUAUUUAAGUAUGUGAUGGAUUUGAGAAUAUGCAUGAACAUGCAAGUUGUACCAUUGAGUACUUUGGGAAUAACAGCAGAUUUGACCAGCAUGCCUUUUUUUUUUUUGACCAGCAUACCUUACUGGAAAAAGAAACUUCCUUUCCUGGAACAGUUUCUUUUUACCCUAUUAGAAGGGGAAUUGCUUGCCAAAUAACUAGAAGGGCAAUGCAUCUUCUGCAAAUGGCUUGAGUUAGUGUUGUAUGACUAGUAUACCAAUAAUUUGAGUGAAAGGUAUAAUUCUUCAACAUAUUCUCCAGAAUAACCGACUCCAAAGCAUACUUUUCUCAUAGAUUCCUUUGUAUCAUUCCCACAUUGUCUGGUCCUUGUGCUAAGCUUAGUUGCAUUUACAAUCAGAUGUGUUAAACAAUAACCAUUUUUCAAUUCUAUUCCUUAGCCUUUUCUUGGUUGAAUCUACUACUUGAUAUUAUGUAAGUGGCAGUUAUUCGAUAGGCUGAAGGCUUGUGGCAGCUGGCCUCACAAACAUGUAUCUCAAUCUUAUGUCAAAACUAUAUGGAUCAAGGGUUUGGAUGAAAAACUGGGAUAUUCAACCGGUGUUGCAAUAGAACCUUGGGGCUUACUUGAUGGACUUAUUAUUGGCACUUCUAUUAACUUUAGUUACCUUCUUGUGUAGAUUAGUGCUGAGGAUAUUUAGAUUCCCGUUAAUUAAUUUGUUUCUAUUAUCUUGGAAUGUUGAUAGAUUAUGUGGAAAAUCCAGACAUCAGGCUCCAUAAACCUCCUAGGAAAGGUCAAUUGUGUGCAGGUGCUUUUGCUGAGAUCCAAGCCUGAGUUCUUCUUAUGUUUUGUUUGAAAAUGUUCCCCCAGAACUGGGAGAUUAUUUCCCACAGCUGUACCUAUUUGAUCUUUAAUGUUGAUCUUUGGCUUACCAAAGACAAAGGUUGCAAACUAGGAACAGAUGAUAGAAUGAUGAACAAUUAUUCACUAUCACUAAAGAGUAUGGAAGUGCCAAAGUAAAGGCUUUCGAUUGAUUUUGUAAUCUUAAGCAAGAAAUCAAUCAUCAAUUACAUGUACAAUUAGUAGAUGAAGUUUUUACCAAAAAUUCCUGACUAAAUAUUUCCAUGCAAACAACAUUCUUUUUAACAUUGAUCAACCAAGGUGCAAUGAUAAAACAACUGGUUAAGCAAUGUAGCAGCACAGAGUUAAUGAGACGAAACUUCUUUCCUUUGAGACUCAGGGUGCACCCUUUUAUUACUAGAAUUUCAUAUUUAGAACCUUACCAAGAGGCUGAUAAACUUUUGGACCAUUGUAAUAUCUGAAAGUGUUACUAGUUUCCUUUGAACUUGACACCUCCUUAAUUUCUUUCGAAACUGAGACCUCACGCAAUGCUGUUAAAGCAGCUUUUCUCCUGGCCUUACGUUCCUUCAACUUCUUUAUCUGUUCCUCCAGUUCUAAUUUAGCUCUCUCUGCAGCAUCAGCUCUGCUUAUUGCCUGUUCAGCCCGCAUCCUGAACUCUGCAAUCUUUCCUGUUGCAAUUUCGAGCUCUUUCUUUAAAUUCUCUGACUGAUGGCUAUCCUCGAGCCCUGGCUUCAGAAAAGUGUCUGCCUGUUUGGCCUUUUUCACUAAACUUCCAUAUUCCUCCUUAAGAAUUGUCACUUGGACAUCUGUCUUCAUAUUGUCACUUUCUUCAUUACCAGCUUUUGACUCACAAUAUGAAUCUUCCCUUGACUGAGUCGAAUAUUCAUGCUGGAUUAUGAAUGGAAAAAAGCUUCCACUUUCUUCGGGAAGUUUACCAGAUGCUUUUAACCGUCGAUACUUCUGCUUGGCUUCUUCAGCUUCCACCGCUAGUUGUUGUAGUGCAGCAUAGACAGCAGACUUUUCAGUCUUCGCCCUUUCUUCAGCAGCCACAGCAGCAGCAAUUUUUGACCUUCCUUUAUGGAGCUCAGCUUUCAGCUUUGCUAUCUCAACUUGUGCUUCAUUCUCCUUUUCACUAGCCUCAGUUAUCGCACCUGUUGUCUUCUCCAAUUCCCUUCUCAUCUCUUCAGCAUUUCUAACCAGCCUUAGGAUAUCCUCAUUUGCUUUACUGUGUUCCAUCUUUAGCUCCUUGAGCUCAUUCUCUAGCAAGGUGAUGUAAACAGCCUGACCCAUAUUCUUCUCUUCCUUCAGUUCCAAAUCUGCUUUCAACUGGUUUAGUUCGCAAAGGGCAUCGAACGCAACUUUCUCAGAAGAACUGUGAAGGGCAUUUGCCUUUUGAAGUCCCGCUUGCAGUGAAUCAACUAAUGCAGACUUGUCUAAGAACUGUUUCUCCAAAUAAUGCGUCAGUUCAAAUUGUUGUGUCACAGAUUCUAGCUGUUGCUGUAUUUGAGUUACUGCAGCUUCUGCCAGUUGUAUUUCUUCUUCUUUUUCUGAUAUUACUGCAUUCUUUUCCUCCUCUGCUUCAGCUGCCGCCAUCUUCAGAUGCAUAAUUGUUUCAUUAAGCUCUGUCACAUGCCUCAAAAGUUCAUCUGUCUUUAACUUCUCCAAGCUAAAGGCAGUUUCCACUACUUCUAAUUUUGUCAAGAACUCAAACUUUGCAUCCUUUGCUGCUGCAAGUUCUAUUUCCGAUGUCAGAAGUUGUCCUUGAGUAUCCUUUAACUCAAUCAGAACAUGUGAAAGCUGCUCACGUAUGUUGACGGACUCAGCAAUCUGAUUAGCCAUCUCCUUAACUGUUGAUUCUAAUUCACCUAUGCAGAUUCGAGAUUCUUUGCAGUCAUUUGUUAAAGUAUCUUUCUCAAGUUCAGAAUUCUUUAGGAGGGUAGACAGUUCAUCAGAUGUUUUUUGAAAGUGAUCCAACUUUAGAAGGGCUUGCUUGUAGGCAGAAUCCUUUGCUUCCAAUUGAACUUUUACAUUUGCCAAGUCUUUCAACAGGUUCUCCAGCUCAUUUUCUUUGUCCAAUUCCUGUCAAUUAAAAGAAUACAAGAACAUAAUGAAAAUUAAAGACUAGCAGCCACAAGAACAUUCACAGUUCAGACUUUCUGCAGAUAUAUAACUGAUAGAUCAUAAAUUGGAAUGUCAUUUCGAAUUCAUUUCACAACUAAAUCUUAUCUGCAGUUAAAGUUUUCCAGACAUAAUCAACGUAUCUGUUGCCAAAUCAGUGACUAAGAAUUAGGAAAAUAUACAACAUAAAAUUGAGCGUCGAGCAUGAAUAUCUGAGGGAGCCUAGACGAACUUACUUCCUUACAGAUAGGCCUGUUUUUUCUCUGGUCAUUUUCUCCACCAAAUAAAGAAAUUGCAGCUUGGACAGACUCAAUCGACUUCGUAUCAAUCUCUGCCAUCUUUAGCCCUAGAUAAUCCUGGAAAGGAAUUUAAGUCACAGAAAAUCAAACUCGUUAGAUUUCAAAGCUUGUCCGGCUUUGAAAUCCAAAUGCAUCGUUAAUCAAGAAAACAGAAAUUUGUCAAGACUGACUAAGACUAUAUGUACUUCUACCAGCAUUACAGAAAAAAAAUCUGCUAAUACAAAAUGUGCAUAUGAUAAGUGACGUGCACUUUUGGUAUCCAAAUAUUAGUAUGCAUGAUGGAAUCCCAAUACAGAAGAAUUGCAACCUUGAAUGAAUAACAGAUACGUGGAAAAAAAAUGAAUAUAUAAAACUGCGCAGAGAGCAGCAGAAUUCAAACCUGCUAUUGGGAAAAAAGGAUGAAAUUAGAUGAAGAUAUAUGAGGUCUCUAUUACAUGGGGAUACCAAGAUAUACUAGUCUUUGUAUGCUGGAGGAAUCGAUGGGCCGGAUUUUUGUUUUCAUAGGACACUCCAGACAUAUUCAUGCAUUGAAACAGAUAACUAAAGAUUUGAUAAACCUCAAAAAACAUUGUAAAAAUCGUCCUACUGAUUUCUGUCUUUGGUCUGCCCAGAUGACAAUUCUUAACUGUUUGUUAACUGUCUUUUGGCUCCUUAGCAGUUUUGGGACUGUCUUCUUGUUGUUUAAUUACCAUCAACAAUACACAAGGCAAAUGUCUUGUAAACUCUAGACGUAGUUACUACAAAAAGCUGGCGAAAUUCCAUAUAAACAUUACUACCAGAAAACUCGAUGUCUUGCAUGACCACCAUUUGGAUACACAGCCCCUAGCAUUAUGCCACAUUAAUUAGUAGACCACAAUUCAUGAAAAGAAGAAGAAAAAGAGCAAAUUUUAAUUGAUUUUCAUUUUUUCUAAAAAAAAAUUUUGCCAAUGUUGAAGGGCAUAUAUGUGCAAAAUUUUGCCUGGAUGAGAACCUUUUAGGAAGUUCGAAAGGUUUACACAUGUUUAAAUCUUUUUUUAUGUCUUAGAUAGUAUAUGCCAAGGUCAAGUUUACUUGACAAUGCACAUGAGCUUUAUCUUUAACUAAAAAUUUGUUAGGACUCUAAAUUUGAGCUCAAAUCAUUUAUACACAUAAGCAAAAUAGACUUUGAUGUGAUUCAAGAGUUGUAAGUUAGAACAAGCGUAACUUCAUAUGUAAUUUUUAAGUGAAUUGAGUGUGACCAUUCCUUUAAAAAAACAAAAAAAGGGAGACCGUUCCGAAUGUCCUCAAUCCAGAAAAUUAUGAAAUUGGAAAGUAUAAAAAUACAGAAGAGAUUUGCCACACGUUUUGUCUUUCAACCAUCAGACAAAGCAAAACUCCUGACUUGUCUUCUCCAACAUUCCCAAAGAAAUAGAAUAGCAUUUGCUUCCAUAGUUCUAUGCCUUUUCCCUUGUCCCGUUUGAUAAUGUGAAAAUAGGAAAGAAACCUACAAAAAUUUGCGGAGCUGCAGCUAUCUAGAAAGGUAUCAUCAGGUGCAUUACUGAACUUUUUUCUUUGUUUCUACCUGAUGACUUGUAAGAAUCUUCGCAAUGAUAGCCUCAUUAUUGUGUAGGCAAUGCACAUGAUUGUCUUUGCAUAAAGAACAGGGAUGUCAUAUUGACGACCUUGCAAUUAGAUAGACAAUGGAUGUCUUUGUUUCAUUAGCUUUCUUCAAACAGUAAAAUGCUUUUCCAAAAUGAAAGAUUUGCCUGCGCCGACCACAACAGAUUUCUGUCCCAUUUUACUAUCCCACUCCCUGUCUAUUUGCUUUACAGUUUAUACCUGCAGCAAAGUAAUGAACGGUUUCAUCUAUGCUAGGAUUCUUUGUCAAAAGAUCAAUUGCACAGUCACUUCUUGUCUUUCAGGUAAACUUUCCAGGCUUUCGAUUGCAUUGCAUUUCAUAGCUGCUUGAGUUGAUAGUUCCUUGUCAAUUUCAUUAGCCAAAAUGCAGUCGUCACAAGCAAUGAGAAACUAGUAAGUUAGGAUCCAUUCUUCACCUCAUGCCAGUAAAUAUUGACAUUGGGCAUCUUAUUUCCUGUUAAUGUCAUGCCUCUUCAAGCAAAAGUGCAGUGCAGGCCAACAGUGAAGACACCUCUUCUGGAGUUGCAGAUCCAAAACCUUGCCACCGUAUUCUACCAAACUUGUCGAGCAAGAACACAUAACUGUGAAGAAAAAAUAUACACGAGUAACUUCGUCAAACUAAUUCAGAUGGAAAAUAAGAGGAAUGGAGAACAAAAAGAAAAUGUGUGCUACCCGGUUAGAAGGUUCAAUAUGUUGAGCUCUUUUCUAAAAUAGUAAUGGUCGCCGAAAGAAUAUACGAUUUGUCUCUGCAGUACAUUCUUCUUAUCAUCAGGGCUAGGUUUCUUCAUUAUUCGCAGAAGCAGCUUCUUUAUUGGAUUACGCCUUAGUAGCCACGACUCUAUCAAGGAA